rnacentral:rRNA from 1 species
GACGAACCGAGCGAACGUUGUUCGGAAUCACUGGGCUUAAAGGGCGCGUAGGCGGGCUGUCAAGUCUGGGGUGAAAUCCCACGGCUCAACCGUGGAACUGCCUUAGAUACUGACGGCCUCGAGGGAGAUAGGGGCGAGCGGAACUGUGAGUGGAGCGGUGAAAUGCGUUGAUAUUCACAGGAACUCCGGUGGCGAAGGCGGCUCGCUGGAUCUUUUCUGACGCUGAGGCGCGAAAACUAGGGGAGCAAACGGG